UUUUAGGCAAAACAUUCCAAAACAUGCACCAGCACAAUUUUACAUUGACAAUGUUCUGCCUCGAAUCAAGGAGAAGAAGAUAAUGGCCCUGAAGUCUUUUGUUAAUCAACUUGGGUAUGUCAAUGUUCCUCAAGAAAUCAACAGGCUGAGGUGCGGGGUGAACUAUCACGCUCUUAAAUUUCUUCCUGAAAUAGAGCAGAUGGCUAAUUUAUUGGCAUCAAGGAUGAGAAACCGCACCGGAAGUUCCAAUCCUUAUAUGGUCCUGCAUCUUAGGUUUGAGAACUGCAUGGUAGGUCUAUCCUUCUGUGAUUUUUUGGGGAUGCUAAGGUAUUCAAAUUUCGGUUUGUAUAGUAAAACGCAAACUUAGUUCAAGGUGAAUGUCUUACCGGAAAAAAGGUCAGGUUGAAGAGAUACUUGGAGAUGAGGGGUGCUGAUGGAGGACCAGCCUUGGAGAAGCUUAUGUGCUUUGCUUGCAUUUUGGAUUAGGUUUUGGCUUAGAACAUAUCACUCUGGUUGGCUUAGAACCUACAAAAGAGUAUCAAUAAAUUUUUUGUCGCCGGGUAGCAAGAAAAAUGAUAAAGAAAUAUGUCUGGUACCAGGUUUUGGCGACUAGCUCAGCUCCUUCCUAGACACUUAUUUUUCUGAAUAUGGCAUGGAGGCCAUCUAUUUUGAUGAAGGUGCAAGGAACUCAAGAGCACACCAACUGGAAACAAGAGCAUUGGAUGUGACCUUUCGUGAAGAGUUGAAAGCAGUAAAUUAAAGGAUCUGCAGACUCAAAACCAACAAAUGCUGUGAACAAGGAACCAGCUAAAGAUGCGGAGUCUGAACUGCAAUCAUUGACAAGUUUUUUUUUGCCAAGUUUAACCAUUUUUUGUAAUAUGCACAUAUACGCGCCUACUUGGUUAUCAUAUUUUGAAAUCUGGCUAAAUUACCAGAUUUUGGAUCAUGUAAAACAAUGUCUAAUGUAAUAUAU